CUGUUAGAAUGAAAACUAACAAACAGAAAGGAAUAACAUUAAUAUCAACAAAAACAACAUCCACACAGAAACCCCAUCCAAAGUUCACCAACAUCAAAGACCAAAGGUAGAUAAAUCCAUGAAGAUGAGGAAAAAACAGCACAAAAAGGCUGAAAAUUCCAAAAACCAGAAUGCCUCUUCUUCUCCAAAGGAUCACAACUCCUCACCAGCAAUGGAACAAAACUGGAUGCAGAAUGAGUUUGACAAACUGACAGAAGUGGGCUUCAGAAAGUGGGUAAUAACAAACUUUUCCGAGCUAAUGGGGCAUGGUCAUAACUUAAAUGAUUCUGAUUUCUCUAGCUCUUACUCAUCAGCUUUCUCUUUAAUUCCUAAUUCCUAAAUAGCCAUCCUGAAUCUCUGCAGAAAAAAAAUAUACAUUGUAUUUGAUACAAUACAUUUUACCAACGAUAUAUAUGCACAACUGUAUACAUGUGUGUAUUGUAUGUAUAUAUAUAUAUAUAUAUAUAUACACACACACACACAUAUAUAUAAAAAACAAAAGCUUUACAUCA
rnacentral:lncRNA from 1 species